UUUCCCAAACGUUGAACGCGGCACUCGUCUCUCAGUCAAAACAGCCGUGCGUCUUUAACAAAACAAAAGAGAAAAACAAUUUUCAUUUUGACAUUUCACUUGUCAAAAAUAACUUUAAAUGUCAUAAGGUUUCGAGUUCCGUCCGGUGUUUUUUCCUCCGUAUUCUCCAUUCGAAAGCGAUUCAUCGAUUUUUCUCUUGUGCGGAAGCUGUGCGAGAUCACCCACCCUCUUCCCCCCAAUACAGCAUCCCCCACCGGUGUUUUUUUUGACGAGAAAAUCUUCAGGUGAAAAAUGGAUUUCCGGUUUAAUUUGAACGAGAUCUUCCGGGAACCCGUGGUGGAAAUCGGAAACACCUUGGUGCCGCCCAAGUUUACCGGGGAUAAAAGGGCGUUAUGGGAUACACAGUCAAAAGUCUCACAGAUAGUCAAUGCGAUGGGCGAGGCUUCUGCGGCUGCCCAAGGACUGUCUAAGCCGAUCACCACAGCCGAUCGGCUCAGGAAUUCUGAGCAUAAGCUUUAUUUGCUUAUUGACCAUAGUGCAAACAAUGGAAGGGGUUCAGUAACAGGAAUGCUAAAAACUGGCCAAAAAGGUCUCUACGUCUUCGAUAGAGAGGGUCAACAUUACCAGGUUUCUCCGCCCUGUAUAUUGGACUUCUAUGUGCACGAAUCAAAGCAAAGAUCUGGAUAUGGAAGAAGACUUUUUGAACAUAUGUUGUUUAGGGAACAAGUUGAGCCAGUUAAGAUGGCCAUCGAUAGGCCCAGUGAGAAACUGUUGGGAUUUUUAAAUAAGCAUUAUGGUCUACACUCUCCCGUGAAACAGAUGAAUAACUAUGUGGUUUUUGAUGGAUUUUUUCCGAGGGCUGGAGACCAUCCGAGAACGCCGGUAGAUACCGAUCAGAGUUCUCCUACUAAAAAACAAUCGGCCAAUGGACUACAACAUGGUGGCUUUCCCACUUCUCCUUAUGGGAGAUAUGGGGCCCGUAAGCCUCCUUGUAGUAUGAACCAGAUAAUCCAUAAUGAUUCAGCAGUAAUCAAGCGCAAUCAAGAACCCACAGGAGUAAGAUCCGAACCUUUCACGAACCUACAAGCCCAGCAAAAUUACCAAUAUAGAAUGCAGAAUCCCUGGCAGACUACCCAGAGUGUCCCCAAUAUGCCCAUCAUGCAAAAUCAGCAACAGUUUUGUUACGGUCAAAAUAUGCCUCAGAAUUAUGUUAUGGCUCAGGGAGACGCCCCGCCAAAUCCCCCACCGAAUUAUUAUUAUCCUCCUCAACAGUACUAUAACCAGCCAACCGUACCUACUUCAGCCACAUCUGGCAAAACUAGGGAACCUAUUUUACCCCAAUCGUUUGAUGGUACCGUGAGAAAAGCACCACAUGUGGCACAAUCUUUGCCCAUGAACAGCAUGCAGCCAAGUCAGCCAGUUUUAAUACACUCUACACCAUCUGCACCACUGUCUUAUCAGAUGUACAAUAAUGCUCCAAUGCAACAGUAUGGACAGAACUUAGUUACUGAAAUACCUCCUCAAAGGUUUAUGCAGCAAGAGCCUGCUUACAAACAAGUUCAACCACAAGAACAGGCUCAAGGGUAUCAAAUGAACCAGAAUGUCAAUAGUCAACAACUAGAGCAUCAGAACCAAGUACCAAAUGAGCAAAUUUUACAUAAUUCUGUGGUUCAAGGACAAGUACAGGUGCAGCCCAGUCAACAGUACAAUGAAUUGGCUCAGCGAACUGUAGCGUCACCUCAAAAUUAUUCCUACAGUCAAAGCCAGCAGCAACAACAACAAACUUCUUCUACUUCCCCUAACGUAAUAACACCACAGAUCAAAGAAGAAAUGCCUGCUCAGAACCAGUUGUCUAGUCCAGAACUAAUGCUUAAUUCAUCUCAAGCUAAUCAAGAACCUCUACAGCAACAGGAAAAUCUCCAAAGCAACCAAAUGGCUGUAACUCAACAGAUACAGCAGCAGAAUUAUGUGCAAAAUACAUCUUCUUCCAUGGCAAUGCCCACCAACAAUCACCAAACCAGCAAUCCCCAACCAAGUCCAUGUUUACCAACGAAUAAUCAACAAAAUGCUCCUCAAGAAACUCAAAAUGUUCCUCAAAAACUUCCGGAACAAAACCAACCGUCUGCAGUGAUUUCUUCCCAAGAAAUACCUUCGAGUGGCCAUCACCUGUACCAUCAAAUGGUUCAGCAAGGGUCUGAAGUUCAUCCUGUGCAGCAGAAUAUAGUUUCCGGAGGGUAUUUAAAUAAUCCGGUGGGUGGUCAGGGUGUCGACAAUAUGGCUGGAAUGAUGCAGCAGAAGCAAUCGGUGCCGAAUGUUUGUAGUAGUACUGCGGAAUAUGAUGGAAGCUGCCAACCACCGGUACCGAAACAAUACGACCUCUCGAAGGGCUACCCGCCGCAACUUCAACAAUCUGCGGUAGUCGCCGGGACCCCAAUAAUCAUAAGAAAUUAACAGUGUAAGAAGUAGAUUUCCUACCAAAAUUCCUUGUUAUCCCAAAUUGUCCUUUUAUCUGGUUUGUCAGGGAUACGUAUCGCUUCAUAUGCUUAUAUGGCACAAAUCGUAUCGCAGUAGUGUAUACAGAGCGUACAAAGCAAAAAAAAAACAAAACCUUAGCCAGUAUAUGUACAUAGAACCACCAAAAAAAAAACUUAUUCCAGACAAAGUGCGCCGAAAGCGGACCGACCGAAUUCCCUAAACAUUGAACAUCCGGAAAACGGUGAACCGGAAGCGAACGGUCACGCGGUCGAGGUGCCACCGCCCAGUGACGACCAACCA